UACGUAGGGGGCAAGCGUUGUCCGGAUUUAUUGGGCGUAAAGAGCGUGUAGGCGGCCAGGUAGGUCCGUUGUGAAAACUGGAGGCUUAACCUCCAGCUGUCGAUGGAAACCAUCUGGCUAGAGUCCGGAAGAGGAGAGUGGAAUUCCUGGUGUAGCGGUGAAAUGCGCAGAUAUCAGGAAGAACACCCGUGGCGAAGGCGGGUCUCUGGGCAGUAACUGACGCUGAGGAGCGAAAGCGUGGGGAGCGAACAGG
rnacentral:rRNA from 1 species